GCCAGCAGCAUACCACCCUGCAUGCCACUGCUGGCUUGCUUCUGAAGCUAAGCAGGGUUGGUCCUGGAUGGGAGAGCAAAUGCUGCUGGAA
ensembl:rRNA 5S_rRNA 5S ribosomal RNA